GGCAUAGUGGUCUAAUGGUAUGACUCCUGCUAUAUAAUGCUCUGCUGGCUCCAGGCAGAGUGUGGGUGGUCUGGGUUCAAAAUCCUAGCUGAGCCG